AUUGAACGCUGGCGGCGUGCUUAACACAUGCAAGUCGAUCGGUAACAGGUGUAGCAAUACAUGCUGACGAGAGGCGGACGGGUGAGUAAUGCUUGGGAAUCUGCCUAUUAGUGGGGGACAACCCGGGGAAACUCGGGCUAAUACCGCAUACGCUCUACGGAGGAAAGCCGGGGACCGCAAGGCCUGGCGCUAAUAGAUGAGCCCAAGUCGGAUUAGCUAGUUGGAGGGUAACGGCCUACCAAGGCGACAAUCCGUAGCUGGUCUGAGAGGACGACCAGCCACACCGGAACUGAGACACGGUCCGGACUCCUACGGGAGGCAGCAGGUGGGGAAUAUUGGACAAGUGGGGGCAACCCUGAUCCAGCGACGCCGCGUGGGUGAAGAAGGCCUGCGGGUUGUAAA
rnacentral:rRNA from 1 species